GGCUCUCUAGCCCAACUGGCAGAGGCAGCGGAUUCAAACCCCGCACAGUCCGAGUUCAAAUCUCGGGAGAGCCA
rnacentral:tRNA from 1 species